CGGAAUUACUGGGGCGUAAAGCGUACCUGCUAGGCUGGUCUUGUUAAGUCUGAUGUGAAAUCCCGGGGCUCAACCUGGGAACUGCAUUCGAAACUGGUAGGCUGGAGUCUUGUAGAGGUGGGUAGAAUUUCCGGUGUAGCGGUGAAAUGCGUAGAGAUCGGGAGGAAUACCGGUGGCGAAGGCGGCCCCCUGGGCUAAUACUGACGCUCAGGUACGAAAGCGUGGGGAGCAAACGGGAUUAGAUACCCCGGUAGUCCUCGCUGUAAACGAUGUCUACUUGAAGGUUCUUCCCUUGAUCAGUGCCUUCCCGAGCUAAAGCCUUUAAUUAACCCCCUGGGGAAUACGGCUCGCCAAAGGAUUAGAACUCCAAAGAAAUUUACCGGA
rnacentral:rRNA from 1 species